rnacentral:rRNA from 1 species
GAUGAACGCUGGCGGCGUGCUUAACACAUGCAAGUCGAACGGGGAUUAUUUCAUUGAAGCUUCGGCAGAUUUGGCUUAAUCCUAGUGACGGACGGGUGAGUAACGCGUGGGUAACCUGCCUUGUACAGGGGGAUAACAGUCAGAAAUGACUGCUAAUACCGCAUAAGCGCACAGGACCGCAUGGUCCGGUGUGAAAAACUCCGGUGGUAUAAGAUGGACCCGCGUUGGAUUAGCUAGUUGGCAGGGUAACGGCCUACCAAGGCGACGAUCCAUAGCCGGCCUGAGAGGGUGAACGGCCACAUUGGGACUGAGACACGGCCCAGACUCCUACGGGAGGCAGCAGUGGGGAAUAUUGCACAAUGGGGGAAACCCUGAUGCAGCGACGCCGCGUGAAGGAAGAAGUAUCUCGGUAUGUAAACUUCUAUCAGCAGGGAAGAAAAUGACGGUACCUGACUAAGAAGCCCCGGCUA